AUCCAGCUGACGAGUCCAAAAAUAGGACGAAACGCGUGUCCUGGAU
rnacentral:hammerhead_ribozyme from 1 species